GUGAGGAAUAUUGCGCAAUGGAGGCAACUCUGACGCAGCCAUGCCGCGUGCAGGAAGAAGGCGCUACGCGUUGUAAACUGCUUUUAACCGGGAAGAAACCCCAGGACGUGUCCUGAGUUGACGGUACCGGAGGAAUAAGCACCGGCUAACUUCGUGCCAGCAGCCGCGGUAAUACGAAGGGUGCAAGCGUUAUCCGGAUUCAUUGGGUUUAAAGGGUGCGUAGGCGGAGCGUUAAGUCAGUGGUGAAAUCCUGCAGCUUAACUGUAGACUUGCCAUUGAUACUGGCGCUCUUGAGUGCGCUUGAAGUGGGCGGAAUGUGCCGUGUAGCGGUGAAAUGCUUAGAUAUGGCACAGAACACCAAUUGCGAAGGCAGCUCACUAAGGCGAUACUGACGCUGAGGCACGAAAGCGUGGGGAUCGAACAGGAUUAGAAACCCUUGUAGUCC
rnacentral:rRNA from 1 species